UUUCCGUAGGUGAACCUGCGGAAGGAUCAUUGUCGAACCCUGCCCAGCAGAACGACCCGCGAACUUGUAUAAACAACUGGGGGCGGGGGGCGUUCUCGCCCCGUGCCCCCGAACGGCGGGGAGACACUCGUGCCUUCUUGCCGAACAACGAACCCCGGCGCGGUCUGCGCCAAGGAACUUCAACUAAAGAGUGCCUCCGGUCGCCUCGGAAACGGCGUGCGUGCCGGAGGCGAAUCUUGUGCAAAACCAUAACGACUCUCGGCAACGGAUAUCUCGGCUCUC
rnacentral:misc_RNA from 1 species